rnacentral:rRNA from 1 species
GACGAACGCUGGCGGCGUGCUUAACACAUGCGAGUCGAACGGAAAGGCCCUGCUUUUGUGGGGUGCUCGAGUGGCGAACGGGUGAGUAACACGUGAGUAACCUGCCCUUGACUUUGGGAUAACUUCAGGAAACUGGGGCUAAUACCGGAUAGGAGCUCCUGCUGCAUGGUGGGGGUUGGAAAGUUUCGGCGGUUGGGGAUGGACUCGCGGCUUAUCAGCUUGUUGGUGGGGUAGUGGCUUACCAAGGCUUUGACGGGUAGCCGGCCUGAGAGGGUGACCGGCCAGAUUGGGACUGAGAUCAGCCCCAGCCCCCUACGGGAGGCAGGGGGGGGGAUUAUAGCAAACGGGGGGGGAGCGUGAGGCAGCACCGCCGCGUGGGGGAGGCGGGCCUGCGGUUGUAAAACCGGUUUCGCCUGGAACAAAGGGUGAGGGAGGGUAAUGGAUAAAGAAGCCCCGACUAACUACGUG